AAACAAACAAACAACAACAAAAAAUAAAAUACCCGCAAUGUAAAAGACAAAGUGAAUUGAGAAAUGUUCACUAUCUUUUUUUUUUUAAUUGCUGGUGCUCACUCAAGAGGCCUCCAACACAGUUUACCAUUACAGAAGGCAGUUGUCUAGUCCUCUUGUGACAUUUCAUAUCUAAACUGCCUCUGUUAGCGCAAUCAUCCUGAUAUCC